AUAUUUUAAACUAAAACUCAUUUAGUAAGGUUAAUAAAUAUGUCAUUAAUAUAAAAUUUGUCUAGUAAGGCUAUACUGCAGAGUAUACGGAUGACGGAUGUGCGUUUUAUUAAUAUUUCAUUUUACCUAUUAUAAGAUUGUGCAAGAUGUUUUGUUGCGGAGUAUGCAAUGCCGUAUUUACCGGCAUAUACCAGGAAUCUGUAUUCACAACUCAAUGCGGUCAUUUGUUCCAUGCUGAAUGUCUUAGAAUGUGUUUCAACAAGCAGUUUUUAAACCAAGAUGUUGUACUUAAAUGCCCGUUUUGUUCACUAUUCGUUGACACAGCCAAAUUGAUUAAGUUACAUCUCCAAAUAGAUGCAAAUUGGAAAGAUACCGCUUCUGCUUUAAGAAAACAGGCCAAUAGAAGCAUCAUUAAUUUGGAUGAAACGUUAAUGAACAACUCAGUAUAAUGAUGGAAAAUUCAAGUCUUGAUAUCAAUACGGAAAAUUCUGCUGUAAGUUUAAUGUCAAAAUUACCGGUAUUUAAUGCCAAUAUAGAAGCAUCAUGAAUUUAGAUGAAUUGUUAAUGAGCACCUCAAUAAUGUAUUAAAUCUAGUGAUAUUAAUGAUGGUAAUGAAAGAAAUAAAAAAAUUGAAAACAAUUUUCUGAUGAUAUUAUAAUAUAGCCAUGUUAUUUUUAUA